GCCCCUCAUACCAUAAGGACAGGACACCUAAGCGCAGCCACGAAUGCUACCCAAUCAAUCAAUGGCUAAUACAAUGAAAAUUUUAUCUCUCAAUGUCAAAGGCCUCAACAGCCCGUACAAAAGAAGACAAGCUCUAAAAGACAUGCACAACUCCAAUGCCGCUAUAGUAUGCCUUCAAGAAACUCAUUUUUGCAAAAAGAACCCUCCUAAUCUACGAUCCUCCAAAUACCCCAUAGCUUAUCAUGCUUAUGCGCCAAACAAAUCAAAAGGUGUAACCAUCCUACUACAUGCAGACUGGGUAUUCACCCCAACCAACCAACAUGUUGACCCAAAUGGGAGAUUGCUAAUUAUAGUGGGAGACCUUAACGGAAUCCAAGUGACGAUAGCGUCCUUAUACGCACCAAAUGAGGCUCAAUUCUCCUUUCUCAACAAAGCCAUAAAGAAAAUCUCCUCACUAAAACAAGGACAUGUUAUAAUUUGCGGUGAUUGCAACUGUACACUAGACCCUACAUUAGAUAUUCAACGUGCCAACGAUAAAAAGCCUAACAAACUAACCAUCCACAACAGCAAAUCAUUUUCCAAUCUUAUUUUCUCUCACGACCUCUAUGAUACGUGGAGAAACCUAUUCCCAGCUGCUAAGGAUUUCACUUACUUCUCUCCGGUCCACUUAACAUAUACCCGAAUAGAUAUCUGCUUGAUAGAUAAAUCCACAUUACCUCAUCUUUUAGAUCAAACGAUAGGGACCAGAACAUGGUCGGACCAUGCCCCAAUAAUUAUCACAAUAGCAGUGCCUUACCCAACGAGAGGCCGAGGCAAAUGGAGAUUAAAUGAGUCCAUUCUUGACACACCUUCGAAUUUAGAGAAGAUUGCCCGCGAUUUGCAAAACUAUUUCGAAAUCAACACUACAAAUGAUACAUCAAUAGAAACCCAAUGGCUCGCUCACAAAGCGGUGAUCAGAGGAGAAUUUAUCAAAAUAGGAUCAAUCAACAAGAAGAAAUCUCAUAACCUACAACGAAAGUUGCUCCAGAAACUCACGACUUUGGAAAAUGUCAACAAACUAACCCCUUCCCGCAACACGACGAAACAAAUAACAGAAACGCGUGAAGAGAUACUAAAAAUUAAGGUCAAAGAAUUCACCACGAACGCAGCUAAACUUCAACGUCACUAUUAUGGCAUGGGCAAUAAAGCCGGAAAAUUGCUAGCAAACCAACUGAAAUCCAAAUAUCUUCAAACGAAAAUCCCAUACAUUCUCUCAAAGUCACAGAUAAAAAUAUAUAAUCCUACCGACAUAGUGAACGAAUUAGCAUCUUUCUAUGAAGAACUAUACAACCUAGACGCAAACGAGAAUACGCACACUCCAGACAAAACAGAAAUUCUAACCUAUUUAGAAAAAAAUACAAUUGCCAAAAAUUUCACAACAACAAAAUAACACGCUUACUGCCCCGUUCACGGAAUCCGAAGUAGCUGCGGCUAUCAAAUCUCUCCCCAGGCAUAAAGCCCCAGGCCCAGACGGUCUCCCGAAUUACUAUUAUCUUAAAUUAGAACCAUACCUAUCCCCGCACAUAACCAAACUUUUUAAUAAAAUAAAAGAAACUGGCCAUUUCCCUAGAACCAUGUUGGAAGCAUACGUCAUUACCCUACCCAAGCCGAAUAAACCACCCACUUCCUGUGGCAAUCUACGACCAAUUUCGCUAUUAAAUGCUGAUGUGAAGCUCUAUGCAAAACUUGUAGCCACAAGAUUGAAACCCUUGCUAUCUACCUUGGUUUCGGAAGAACAAGCAGGCUUCGUGCCUGGCAAGCAGGUGGGAGACAAUACCAGAUUUUGCAUGGACCUCAUCGACUGGGCAACUCGUCAACGUGUGUCCGGGGUCUUAAUGGCCUUGGACGCAGAAAAGGCUUUUGAUCGCCUUAAUUGGACGUACAUGGAGACUGUUUUACAAGCUUA